UACGAAAGGGGCUAGCGUUGUUCGGAAUUACUGGGCGUAAAGCGCACGUAAGCGGCCUUGCAAGAUGGGGGUGAAAUCCCCGGGCUCAACCAGGGAACUGCCUUCAUGACUGCAAAGCUUGAGGAUGUGAGAGGUUGGAGGUAUUCCGAGUGUAGAGGUGAAAUUCGUAGAUAUUCGGAAGAACACCAGUGGCGAAGGCGGCCAACUGGUACAUUUCUGACGCUGAGGUGCGAAAGCGUGGGGAGCAAGCAGG
rnacentral:rRNA from 1 species